rnacentral:rRNA from 1 species
GAUGAACGCUAGCGGCAGGCCUAACACAUGCAAGUCGAGGGGUAACUAGAGUGAUAGCAAUAUUACUUUGGCUAGACCGGCGCACGGGUGCGUAACACGUAUGCAACCUACCUUAUACUGGGGAAUAACUUCGAGAAAUCGGCGCUAAUACCCCAUAACAUUGCGAAGAGGCAUCUCUUUGCAAUUAAAGCUCCGGCGGUAUAAGAUGGGCAUGCGUCCAAUUAGCUAGUUGGUGAGGUAACGGCUCACCAAGGCUACGAUUGGUAGGGGUUCUGAGAGGAUGAUCCCCCACACUGGUACUGAGACACGGACCAGACUCCUACGGGAGGCAGCAGUGAGGAAUAUUGCGCAAUGGACGAAAGUCUGACGCAGCCAUGCCGCGUGCAGGAUGACGGCCCUAUGGGUUGUAAACUGCUUUUGUACGGGAAUAAACCCUUCUACGUGUAGGAGGCUGAAGGUACCGUAAGAAUAAGCACCGGCUAACUCCGUGCCAGCAGCCGCCGCGGUAA